AUUCCAGCUCCAAUAGCGUAUAUUAAAGUUGUUGCAGUUAAAAAGCUCGUAGUUGGAUUUCCGGCGUGAGGGAUCAGUCUGACUUCUAGUCAGUACUUGGUCCUCUCAUGCCGUCCUUGAAUGGUGCAUCCUGGCAUUAAGUUGUCGGGGUGAGAGCCGUUCAUCGUUUACUGUGAGAAAAUUAGAGUGUUCAAAGCAGGCUUAUGCCGUUGAAUAUAUUAGCAUGGAAUAAUAAGACAGGACUUUGGUACUAUUUUGUUGGUUUGAGAACCAAGGUAAUGAUCAAUAGGGACAGUUGGGGGUAUUCGUAUUCAGUUGUCAGAGGUGAAAUUCUUAGAUUUCCGGAAGACGAACUACUGCGAAAGCAUUUACCAAGGAUGUUUUCAUCA
rnacentral:rRNA from 1 species